CAUGAUCUUAGUUUUUUGAAUGUUGAGCUUUAAGCCAACUUUUUCACUCUCCUCUUUCACUUUCAUCAAGAGGCUCUUUAGUUCUUCUUCACUUUCUGCCAUAAAGGUGGUGUCAUCCGCAUAUCUGAGGUUAUUGAUAUUUCUCCCAGCAAUCCUGGUUCCAGCUUGUGCUUCAUCCAGCCCAGCGUUUCUCAUGAUGUACUCUGCAUAGAAGUUAAAUAAGCAGGGUGACUAUUAUUAUUUUUUGUCUUGCUUGACUGUUUCCCUCAGUUUCUGCAUUUUCUCACCUCUCUGAUUAAAUUUGCUCUCUGGAACUUGGGGAAGGCCUACGAGGCUAGAGCUUUCCUGAAAAUGAGAGGCAGGUGUGGGACCUGGCGGGUGAGGAAGUCUGUCUCCAGGAAGGCGCCUCAGGAAGCUGCUUGGUUUCUUCUCAUGAAAGUCUGUGUGGGGACGCGGGGGAUUGUGGGAAAGGGGCACAGACUCCUGAGCGGCCGCUGAAGGAGAGGAUCCGCUCCCUGGAAGCGAGGGCUGACGGGAGCGAGGGUUGAUGGGAGCGAGGGCUGACACAACCCAACGCUGGCGCUCACACACUCUGCCGCCCUUUGGACUUGUGAACUCGUCUGCUUCCACUGGAAGCCAACAAACUCCGAGAGAAGGACGUGUCCAGACGGUCAGAACACCGGCUGUGGAAAGGGACCCAAGCGGCAGCGCAUCAGCGUCGUUCGUGAGACGUUAGACACCGCGUUCCGGGGCCUCACUGAAGCCGCAAGCCUGACGGGACGGUGCUUCGCGGGCUGCGUCAUCCGGCUCGCGGGCCGGCGUGUGGCGCGGAGGAGCACUCCUCAGCCGGCCUGCAGGCUGCGGCGCGGCGCAGCGGCUCUCCGUGGGGGCGCCCUGGGGCUCGGCCACCAGGUGGGGCUCCCGCGGACGGGGGAGCAGAGAGCCCUCGGGGUCCCGGAAGGGCUGGCGAAGGCCCAGGGCAAAGAGCGGCGGAGCUGGGGGGACUCGGGCUGGGAAGCUGGGCAGUCGGGGCUCAGCGCCCGCUCGGCAGCUUGCUGGCUCCGCGUGCCUUCACUACCUGACCUUGAAACCAGCAAAGACCUUCAGAGACAAGCCCACACUCGCCCUUCUGUUCUCCGCGGCUUCUGCCAGCUGCCUCGGAGGAAACGUGAGGCUGUGUGGCUGCUGACAUUGCGCCGCCCUCUCUUCUGUGAAGGUGAUCGAAGGCUUGGCAGGACGCAGCGCUUGGGGGAGCGCCUGUGCCCACCCCCACCAAAUUGCCAGCCGGCAGGAGAAGGGCAGGGAACACAGACCCCUGUCCUGCUAGGCUGCUCAUCACAGAUGCCCCCGACACUUCACAGCUAUUAGGAUAAAAGCGGAGUCUGCCAGCCCUGGCUUCACACGAUGGGGGAAUAAACAAUAGCUUGCAGAUUAAAUAACGCAGGAUAUUUUAUAUUCUAGUUUGAGAGUUUAGCAGAAACUGAAAGCAUGAUAAAUAAAAAGGACUGCUCGCCUUUAAUAAAGCAAACAGACCAAGGAGCCAUUCAUUUACCGUAUGAAGGAUUUGUUUUCCAGGGCAAUCAUGCAAAAAGGCUUAGCCUAUCUUGCAGAUGAAAAACUGGCCUGACCCUAUCCUGCCCAGCUGACUGAACUUUGCAAACAGGGUUUUCAAAGUGCUCUUUUUCAAUUAAUGUUUUAAUAUUUUGAGGCUUUUCAUGGAAAUUAUAGCUCUAGCUGUUCAAGAUGACUUCAGCGACUGCCUGAUUUACAAAUGCACCCAAGCAAUGCCAAUGGCCUUUGCAAAUUAGAUUUUUAAAAUAAUUCACACGGUGGCUUUUUAAUGUACUCAAGUGCUUCCCAUAUGCCGCCUUCUAGCCUCAUUCUGAAGCACAGAUAUUUCAGAGCAGAGUGCACAUUUCAACUCUGUUUUUUCAUACCUUUCCCUUUCAGAUAGCUUCAACACUGCUUUCAUUAAUCAGAAUAAUGAAAAGAGAACCCUGGGGCUCAAGAUGAGAUGCCAAUCAUCAAGGCUGCUUUCAUGUUGAGCCUCAGAUCGCCACCAAAUCCUCAACCCCCUCUCAUCAUCUAGCGUCUGUUUUGUUGCCACAGCUCCUUGCUGUUUUGAUCCACUCCAUACAUUUGUGGCCAAGGUCUUCUUCUUAAGACACUGCUCUUAUCACUUGAUUCCUUGCUCAAGAAAUAAAAGCACCUUGCUGCCUCCAGUCUAAACUUGCCAUUCCCCAUACUGGCUUUUUUGCCCCCAUUAAAAAAAAAAAAAAAAAGAUUUUCUUUUUAGAGUACUUUUUAAGAUCAGAGCAAUGCUGAGCAGAAAAUGAAGAGUUUCCAU
ensembl:lincRNA